rnacentral:rRNA from 1 species
UGGGGAAUUUUGCACAAUGGGGGAAACCCUGAUGCAGCGACGCCGCGUGAUUUAGAAGGCCUUCGGGUUGUAAAAAUCUUUUCUAUGGGAAGAAAAUGACAGUACCAUAGGAAUAAGGACCGGCUAAUUCCGUGCCAGCAGCCGCGGUAAUACGUAAGGUCCGAGCGUUGUCCGGAAUCAUUGGGCGUAAAGGGUACGUAGGCGGGUAAGCAAGUUAGAAGUGAAAUCCUAUAGCUCAACUAUAGUAAGCUUUUAAAACUUCUCGUCUUGAGGUAUGUAAGGAGAAGUGGAAUUCCUAGUGUAGCGGUGAAAUGCGCAGAUAUUAGGAGGAAUACCGGUGGCGAAGGCGACUUUCUGGCCAUAACCUGACGCUGAGGUACGAAAGCGUGGGUAGCAAACAGG